CGGUGUGAAAGCAUUCGGCUUCAUCUAUUGGAGGGUGAAUAUGGAAUCACGUGGCUUUGGUUAACCGCUUAAUAGUCUCACAUAAGUACAAUACCGACAGAUCUGUCACUGCCGUGCCAGGAAUUGUGCCAUCUCAUCUUCUAUUGUUAAACGUAAAAAACAAGUCUUACACGUACCAUGAAAAUGAAGGGCAUUUGUCUCCUCC
rnacentral:lncRNA from 1 species